CCCUUAGAUGUUCUGGGCCGCACGCGCGCUACACUGACGGAGUCAACGAGUUGUCCUGCAUCGGAAGGUGUGGGUAAUCUUUUGAAACUUCGUCGUGCUGGGGAUAGAUCUUUGCAAUUUUCGAUCUUGAACGAGGAAUUCCUAGUAAGCGUGAUUCAUCAGAUCGCGUUGAUUACGUCCCUGCCCUUUGUACACACCGCCCGUCGCUACUACCGAUUGAAUGGUUUAGUGAGGCCUCGGGACUGGCGCGCUCGAGCAGCAAUACACCUGCGCGCCGGGAACUUGGUCAAACUUGAUCAUUUAGAGGAAGUAAAAGUCGUAACA
rnacentral:rRNA from 1 species